rfam:Schistosoma rodhaini strain Burundi genome assembly, scaffold: SROB_scaffold0000378
AUCCAGCUGAAGCGUCCUGAAUUGGACGAAACUCGCAUCCUGGAU